GACGAACGCUGGCGGCGUGCUUAACACAUUCAAGUCGAACGGAAAGGCCCUGCUUUUGUGGGGUGCUCGAGUGGCGAACGGGUGAGUAACACGUGAGUAACCUGCCCUUGACUUUGGGAUAACUUCAGGAAACUGGGGCUAAUACCGGAUAGGAGCUCCUGCUGCAUGGUGGGGGUUGGAAAGUUUCGGCGGUUGGGGAUGGACUCGCGGCUUAUCAGCUUGUUGGUGGGGUAGUGGCUUACCAAGGCUUUGACGGGUAGCCGGCCUGAGAGGGUGAACGGCCACAUUGGGACUGAGAUACGGCCCAGACUCCUACGGGAGGCAGCAGUGGGGAAUAUUGCACAAUGGGCGGAAGCCUGAUGCAGCAACGCCGCGGGUGGGAUGACGGCCUUCGGGUUGUAAACCGCUUUCGCCUGUGACGAAGCGUGAGUGACGGUAAUGGGUAAAGAAGCACCGGCUAACUACGUG
rnacentral:rRNA from 1 species